rnacentral:lncRNA from 1 species
GGCCCUAAUUUCCUAUAAAACCUCAUACAAUGCCAUAUGAGGGUUCAGUGACUCACGUUUCAUGUCUUACUGAUCAAGUUGUGUUCUUGAUAAGCUUAGAUUCCUUGACCUCAGUUUUUCAGAGUUGGGAACCCUUGACCUUGGGAUGACUCCAAAUCUGGAGUGGUUGCACCUUGGAGGAUGUUUUGAACUUGUAGAACUUCACAUGCCAAUUCAAUGUCCAAAGCUUGUAUUCCUCAAUCUCUGUGGUUCUAAGUUGAGUAACCUUAACCUUGGGCUAACGCAACAUCUCAAGACUUUACUUCUUGAAGAAAGUGAUUCCUUUGUAGAACUCUACAUGCCCGUUGAAUGGCUGAAGCUUGAAUUCCUCGACCUUAGAGGUAUUAAGGCGAGUAACAUUAACCUUGGGAUGACUCCACGUCUCAAGAAUUUAUAUCUUGGAGGAUGUAAUGAAUUUGUAGAACUCCACAUGCUAGUUGCAUGUUUGAAGCUUGCAUUCCUCGACCUCAAAGGUACUAUGGUGAUUG